UACAGAGGUCUCAAGCGUUGUUCGGAUUCAUUGGGCGUAAAGGGUGCGUAGGCGGCGGGGCAAGUCAGGUGUGAAAUCCCGGGGCUCAACCCUGGAACUGCACUUGAUACUGCUUUGCUAGAGUACUGGAGAGGAGAUUGGAAUUUACGGUGUAGCAGUGAAAUGCGUAGAUAUCGUAAGGAAGACCAGUGGCGAAGGCGAAUCUCUGGACAGUUACUGACGCUAAGACGCGAAAGCGUGGGGAGCAAACAGG
rnacentral:rRNA from 1 species